AAUAAUGGUUGUCUGUCAGGAAAUGCGAGUUUCUUGACUCAUGUAUUGCGCGUAAUUAUCGUACUCACGAAUCAUGCAUUCACUAAAUCUGUAGAAAGCGAGUUCUGGAAAUGAGUUAUGAGUAAAUAAAAUCACAAAUCGUGCGUAAAAAGCGUACUCACAGCCGACCGGUUAUCAAACUCGUUUUUGACGUGUUUCUUUACCGAUGGAUCAUAGGCCGCCUCGCCGCCAUUUUUGUUCCGGCCGGAUCCGUGUGUGCAGGGGGAGUCGCGUGCUGCAAGUUAAGGGUCCCAGCAACUCUGUCGAUGCGGAGGUCACGGCCGCCACCGCCGACCCCGGCGAGGGCACCAGCGCGAGCGGGCCGCCGGCGAUGGACAAAUUGAGGAGAGCUGGCUCGUUAUCGACGAUGCAGUCGACCACCUGCUGCACCGCGCUGGCGAGCACGGAGCUGUGUUUCAGCCAUCCCCAGUGGCCAGUACCCAUGGCCGCAAGUUCGAGCUGGCAUGCUCUACGUGGAGAAUGAGACGGUUGUCGAGUUCAAAGAGCUAACCUCGGCGGUCGACUUCAGUGACCAGCUGCCGGGACAGAGACUGACCGGCAGAGUUCUGUUGGUGCCUCAUACUUUUCUCUGUUUGUUUCUGUUUUCUGUUCCGCAAGUUUUUGUCAUUGUAACUAGUUGCAGUUGAAUUAGCUUGUUGCAGUUCGUUUAUAUUUUGCUGCAGGGUGUCCCUAAACCGUAAAGAGACGUGAAACGUUGGACGCUAAUGAAUGAGAUACAAGGCACUUUGAUGUAAAGCACAGGCAGAGCAGAAUCGGAAAUGUAUCAGGUAACCAAACCAUUGAAACUGUGUUUGCGUAUUAAAUGACUAUUGAAACUGCGUCUUUCACAUGCUGGUUGCACGACCUUUCUAUAGAAUGCGAAAUAACAUAAUCGCACAUAAGACUGUGAAAUAGAAAGCUGCUUGGUAUAAUAGGUCCGUCUGCUCCUUAUGAUGGGUUCCUAUAGCUGGUCUGGUCUUGCAACCAGCUAUGAUCAUUGAGCGUUACCGUCCAUAAUAGGUUGUCCAGCUUGCUUGUUCGUAUGUGCAUGGAAUACAGAUUUAACUUUGCUGUU